rnacentral:rRNA from 1 species
UACGGAGGGAGCUAGCGUUGUUCGGAUAUACUGGGCGUAAAGCGCACGUAGGCGGCGUCGUAAGUCAGGGGUGAAAUCCCGGAGCUCAACUCCGGAACUGCCCUUGAAACUGCAAUGCUAGAAUCUUGGAGAGGCGAGUGGAAUUCCGAGUGUAGAGGUGAAAUUCGUAGAUAUUCGGAAGAACACCAGUGGCGAAGGCGACUCGCUGGACAAGUAUUGACGCUGAGGUGCGAAAGCGUGGGGAGCAAACGGG